UCUCCGUAGGUGAACCUGCGGAGGGAUCAUUACAAGUGACCCCGGUCUAACCACCGGGAUGUUCAUAACCCUUUGUUGUCCGACUCUGUUGCCUCCGGGCGACCCUGCCUUCGGGCGGGGGCUCCGGGUGGACACUUCAAACUCUUGCGUAACUUUGCAGUCUGAGUAAACUUAAUUAAUAAAUUAAAACUUUUAACAACGGAUCUCUUGGUUCUG
rnacentral:misc_RNA from 1 species